AGAGUUUGAUCAUGGCUCAGAUUGAACGCUGGCGGCAGGCCUAACACAUGCAAGUCGAACGGUAACAGGAAACAGCUUGCUGUUUCGCUGACGAGUGGCGGACGGGUGAGUAAUGUCUGGGAAACUGCCUGAUGGAGGGGGAUAACUACUGGAAACGGUAGCUAAUACCGCAUAAUGUCGCAAGACCAAAGAGGGGGACCUUCGGGCCUCUUGCCAUCGGAUGUGCCCAGAUGGGAUUAGCUAGUAGGUGGGGUAACGGCUCACCUAGGCGACGAUCCCUAGCUGGUCUGAGAGGAUGACCAGCCACACUGGAACUGAGACACGGUCCAGACUCCUACGGGAGGCAGCAGUGGGGAAUAUUGCACAAUGGGCGCAAGCCUGAUGCAGCCAUGCCGCGUGUAUGAAGAAGGCCUUCGGGUUGUAAAGUACUUUCAGCGGGGAGGAAGGGAGUAAAGUUAAUACCUUUGCUCAUUGACGUUACCCGCAGAAGAAGCACCGGCUAACUCCGUGCCAGCAGCCGCGGUAAUACGGAGGGUGCAAGCGUUAAUCGGAAUUACUGGGCGUAAAGCGCACGCAGGCGGUUUGUUAAGUCAGAUGUGAAAUCCCCGGGCUCAACCUGGGAACUGCAUCUGAUACUGGCAAGCUUGAGUCUCGUAGAGGGGGGUAGAAUUCCAGGUGUAGCGGUGAAAUGCGUAGAGAUCUGGAGGAAUACCGGUGGCGAAGGCGGCCCCCUGGACGAAGACUGACGCUCAGGUGCGAAAGCGUGGGGAGCAAACAGGAUUAGAUACCCUGGUAGUCCACGCCGUAAACGAUGUCGACUUGGAGGUUGUGCCCUUGAGGCGUGGCUUCCGGAGCUAACGCGUUAAGUCGACCGCCUGGGGAGUACGGCCGCAAGGUUAAAACUCAAAUGAAUUGACGGGGGCCCGCACAAGCGGUGGAGCAUGUGGUUUAAUUCGAUGCAACGCGAAGAACCUUACCUGGUCUUGACAUCCACGGAAGUUUUCAGAGAUGAGAAUGUGCCUUCGGGAACCGUGAGACAGGUGCUGCAUGGCUGUCGUCAGCUCGUGUUGUGAAAUGUUGGGUUAAGUCCCGCAACGAGCGCAACCCUUAUCCUUUGUUGCCAGCGGUCCGGCCGGGAACUCAAAGGAGACUGCCAGUGAUAAACUGGAGGAAGGUGGGGAUGACGUCAAGUCAUCAUGGCCCUUACGACCAGGGCUACACACGUGCUACAAUGGCGCAUACAAAGAGAAGCGACCUCGCGAGAGCAAGCGGACCUCAUAAAGUGCGUCGUAGUCCGGAUUGGAGUCUGCAACUCGACUCCAUGAAGUCGGAAUCGCUAGUAAUCGUGGAUCAGAAUGCCACGGUGAAUACGUUCCCGGGCCUUGUACACACCGCCCGUCACACCAUGGGAGUGGGUUGCAAAAGAAGUAGGUAGCUUAACCUUCGGGAGGGCGCUUACCACUUUGUGAUUCAUGACUGGGGUGAAGUCGUAACAAGGUAACCGUAGGGGAACCUGCGGUUG
rnacentral:rRNA from 2 species